ACAGGUGGGUAGGAUGAGAAUUCUCAGGCGCUUGAGAGAACUCGGGUGAAGGAACUAGGCAACAUGGCACCGUAACUUCGGGAGAAGGUGCACCCUUUUUGGUGGCUCGUGCGAGCUAUAGCUGAAGAGGGUCGCAGUAACCAGGCCGCUGCGACUGUUUAUCAAAAAACACAGCACUCUGCAAACACGAAAGUGGACGUAUAGGGUGUGACGCCUGCCCGGUGCUGGAAGGUUAAUUGAUGGGGUCAGCCGCAAGGCGAAGCU
rnacentral:rRNA from 1 species